GCCCGAGUGGUCUAAGGGGGCAGACUUAAGAUCUGCUGUAUUUGUACGCGUGGGUUCGAACCCCACACUAU
rnacentral:tRNA from 1 species